rnacentral:rRNA from 1 species
GACGGAGGAUGCAAGUGUUAUCCGGAAUCACUGGGCGUAAAGCGUCUGUAGGUGGUCAAAUAAGUCAACUGUUAAAUCUUGAGGCUCAACCUCAAAAUCGCAGUCGAAACUAUUAGACUAGAGUAUAGUAGGGGUAAAGGGAAUUUCCAGUGGAGCGGUGAAAUGCGUAGAGAUUGGAAAGAACACCGAUGGCGAAGGCACUUUACUGGGCUGACACUGACGCUGAGGCGCGAAAGCCAGGGGAGCAAACGGG